rnacentral:rRNA from 1 species
AUUGAACGCUGGCGGCAUGCCUUACACAUGCAAGUCGAACGGCAGCACGGGAGCUUGCUCCUGGUGGCGAGCGGCGAACGGGUGAGUAAUACAUCGGAACGUACCCUGAAGUGGGGGAUAACGUAGCGAAAGUUACGCUAAUACCGCAUAUUCUGUGAGCAGGAAAGAGGGGGAUCGCAAGACCUCUUGCUUUAGGAGCGGCCGAUGUCGGAUUAGCUAGUUGGUGAGGUAAAGGCUCACCAAGGCGACGAUCCGUAGCGGGUCUGAGAGGAUGAUCCGCCACACUGGGACUGAGACACGGCCCAGACUCCUACGGGAGGCAGCAGUGGGGAAUUUUGGACAAUGGGCGCAAGCCUGAUCCAGCCAUGCCGCGUGAGUGAAGAAGGCCU